UGAAGGGUCUCCUCGGGGACCCGCCAAAACCAUCAGCGGCUGAAGCUGGUCUUUCAGGAAAGGUCAAGCAGGACGCGGGAGGAGCCAGCAGUUUACGACUGUCCUGACCGGCCAGCUGGAACCCAGAGUCGGCUGGGGACAAAGGUGGCGGCUGUGUGGCCUUGGCCUGCUUCUUAACCUCUCGGAGCCUCCAUGUGGAAAACAGGAACAACUAAACAACACCCUUUGUAGGGUUGGGGAAAGAAGAACAGAGAGUCCAGGAGCAGCCCAUUCUUUGGGUAUGGCAAUGACAGUCCCAACGCACAGUACAUGACAACCACACAGGAGCCUGGCUCCUGGGCAUGGGAGGUUGUAGGCACCAACUCCCCAAAUCUUCCCAAGCCUAUGGGGUAGUUCUAUUACACCCCCAGUUUCCAGCAUAAAAACCCAGGCACAGAGAAGGGAAGACACUGGCCCAAGAGCACGCAGCAUGGUGCAGCUAGGUCUGGAGCCCCAGCCGAGUGUCCACGUGACCCCCUGGUUUUGCUAACUUUUCACAGCAGAGGGCACUGAGGACCUGGCAGGGCCUGUGGGACCCAGCUGGAUGACACCAGAGGAGAUGGAAACUCAGGGCCCCCUGCAGCGCCACGCGGGCCACCGUGGACCCAGCUCCCCUUUCAAACAGAAGCCGUCCAUACGUGCCCGCCCAGGGCUGCCGGAGCCUCAGCCCCUGUCCCCAGCAGAGCCACCUCCUUGCCCACAGCCCACGGCUGGGUCAUCGGUCCUGGAACCCAGAGAGCAUCCGCACUGCCCACCAGCAGCGCCACCUUGGGAGCGGAACAACAGGCCACUCGAGUCUGCAGGAGGCCAGAGGCCACCAGCCUGGAACCUCCAGGCGCAUCUCAGACUGGCAGCUGCCUGUGGCCGUGCCCUGGCCGGCGGCGAGUUGCCUCCAGCUCCCAGCACUUGUCCCGAGGAGCCGUCUGCCGCCUCUCCCCCGGGCGAAGCCCGAGCAGGCUGGCCUGGCGCUGUCCCGGGCUCACGGGGCCGGGGACGUGGCUGGGGUCCAGUCCGUGCAAGGACGAGGGAGCCAGACUGCGCUGACCCCAAGUGCUUCCAGGCUCCGUCCCUCACGCCUGGGAGCCAGCUCUCCAAGCCGGCCUCCACCUGCCCCGGCUGCCCUCACCCCACGACCCUGUGCCUGCACCUUGGCCUCCCCCUUCUCACCAGGGUGUUGCCCUCUUGCCCCCUCCACGCUGCGCCUGCACCUUGGCCUCCCUCUCGGGAGCCAGUCACCUCCCUGGCGGGUCCCUCCUGCCCCAACUCCCAGGGAGGCCGUGUGUGCGUGUCUGGCCUCUGGCUCCCUGGGGACCAGAAAAACAGAAUUCAUCAUCUGGCCGCCCUAUUUCCCUGUCUUCUCUUCUUCUUGCCUAAGAAUGGAGCAAGCAGUUCUCUGCCACCCUCAGGAAGAGCCUCAGAUAUGCCAGGCCACAGGCAAAGA